rnacentral:rRNA from 1 species
AGUGAUCGAAAGAUGAAAAGCACUUUGGAAAGAGAGUUAAAAAGCACGUGAAAUUGUUGAAAGGGAAGGGAUUGCAACCAGACUUGCUCGCGGUGUUCCGCCGGUCUUCUGACCGGUCUACUCGCCGCGUUGCAGGCCAGCAUCGUCUGGUGCCGCUGGAUAAGACUUGAGGAAUGUAGCUCCCUCGGGAGUGUUAUAGCCUCUUGUGAUGCAGCGAGCGCCGGGCGAGGUCCGCGCUUCGGCUAGGAUGCUGGCGUAAUGGUUGUAAUCCGCCCGUCUUGAAACACGGUCACGUACUGUUUAACUCUCUUUCCAAGUGCUUUUCAUCUUUCCCUCACGGUACUUGUUCGCUAUCGGUCU